CCAGCCCCCACCCGGCCGCGGGGAGGCUGCGCCCCUUAAAGGCGACGCGCCCGCGCACCCCCAUCUUCUCUGCCUGGGCUGCGCGGCGGGCGGGGGAGGCCUGGGGAGGGGGGCGGACGCUGUCGGUGGGCGCGCCCACCUUCCUCGCGCGGGCAUCACCACCUGGCCCGGGAGGGGGCGGCCGGCGGCCUCUUAAAGAGACAGCAGUGCCGGGUGGUGGGCGAUGACCCCAGCCGGGAACGAGCUCCGGGAUGCGUCCCCGGGAGCUUCUGGGUCCGCGAAUGGAUGGCUAGGACGCAGGCAGAACGAUGCUGUGCAGCGUCUGCUCUGCCAACCCCUCUGCACUUCCCUCUCCAGAGCCGGGUGGGGGCGGGGAGGGAGGGCGUCUCCGUCGAGUCGGGGCGUUCACGCCCGCUCCUGCCUUCGGCCUGUCGUGGGGCUAGCGCGGACCCCGGUAAUCCCCUGGCGGGCACGGACAGGCCCACUCCAGUGUGCAGACUGCCGUCGGUCCUGUGCCGUCCGGUACCUGGGUAGCCCUGGAGGAUGAAAUUUCCCUGUUGGGUCUUCGAGCAGUAUCCUGCUGGAGGGGAAAGGAGCCCAAGGCUGGAGACGAUAGAAGCGACUUCUGUUUCAAAGGAGGAAGGGGUUUUACCAUGGUGAAAAAAGCCAUCCUUUCACCGGGCGCUACCCAGCCCUUCUCACCUCUGAGUCCUGUUUUUGGCAUCUUGGGUCACUCUGCCAUUUGAGACAUUUGAUAUUUAAGUGACGUUCGUGGCUGAGCUCAGCUGGCAGUGUUGAAAAAAAUGACUGAGGUGGUGGUGGCUACAGUGUACACUUUUGGAACAAAACUUAAGGUUUCAAAUGUGGAACCCUAGGCCUUCAUUGACCCCCAAGUUCCAACUUAGGCUCUUAGACUUAUUUCCAAGGCAGUGGGAAUCUGUUUCAGUUACAUUGAGUGAAGAAGUGACAGGAGCUAACACUAAUACACACAGGCUGUCAUGUGGCCAGUAGCAGAUACACAAUGGAUGGGAGAUUGCAAGGGUUUCUCUGUAGCUCUGGAGCCUUUGUCAUGGAUCCUUGGCCUGGCUUCUGCUAUACCAUUGAUGGGCUGUCACUGGGACUCUUCCUGGAUAUACUGUUGUUGUUCUGUGUCAUGGAGAUCCCAUAGCUUUGGAUCCAAAGAUCCAGCCUCUUUACAUAUUCCAGCAGUUCAUAGAUGAGGUG
rnacentral:lncRNA from 1 species